UACAGAGGGUGCGAGCGUUGUCCGGAAUCACUGGGCGUAAAGGGCGCGUAGGUGGUGGCUUAAGCGUGCGGUGAAAGCUCGGGGCUCAACCCCGAGUCGGCCGUGCGAACUGGGCUCACUGGAGCAUAGUAGAGGCAGGUGGAAUUCCGGGUGUAGCGGUGGAAUGCGUAGAGAUCCGGAAGAACACCGGUGGCGAAGGCGGUCUGCUGGGCAGUUGCUGACACUGAUGCGCGACAGCGUGGGGAGCAAACAGGA
rnacentral:rRNA from 1 species